GCCGGGCGACUCGAUGCGCCUGCGCUCUGUGACCUGCGCCCCGAGCCGGCGGGAAUAGUGCCGUUUCUGCCUCCGAUUCCUCCUCAGUCUUUUCCCAAACUCACGAGGCACUGAGGCGGCUUUUCAGGAACUAACAUAGUGCAUGACUUAUAGUGGCUGCUUCACCUGUUUUACUGCUUACUUGCUUAAUUGGAUAUUUUGACAUAAUGGAAUUAGCAAAAGCAUUGGAUUUGAGUAGAAGAGGAAAUGAAAAGAAAAAGGACAUUUAGCAACCAUUCCUUUAAAUGAAUGUACUCUCAUAAACUAGUUAUUAUUUUGCCAGAAGUCAAGUGGUAUCUGCUCCAGUUCAUUCUUUCAUCCUCAGCUUCUCAGAACUCCCCAGAUCAGGU
rnacentral:lncRNA from 1 species